rnacentral:rRNA from 1 species
GAUGAACGCUGGCGGCGUGCCUAAUACAUGCAAGUCGAACGCUUUGUCUUUAACUGAUAUGAAGAGCUUGCUCUGAUUUGAUUUUAUCUGACAAAGAGUGGCGAACGGGUGAGUAACACGUGGGUAACCUACCUCUUAGCAGGGGAUAACAUUUGGAAACAAGUGCUAAUACCGUAUAAUACCAACAACCGCAUGGUUGUUGGUUGAAAGAUGGUUCUGCUAUCACUAAGAGAUGGACCCGCGGUGCAUUAGCUAGUUGGUAAGGUAACGGCUUACCAAGGCAAUGAUGCAUAGCCGAGUUGAGAGACUGAUCGGCCACAAUGGGACUGAGACACGGCCCAUACUCCUACGGGAGGCAGCAGUAGGGAAUCUUCCACAAUGGGCGCAAGCCUGAUGGAGCAACGCCGCGUGUGUGAUGAAGGGUUUCGGCUCGUAAAACACUGUUAUAAGAGAAGAACGGCACUGAGAGUAACUGUUCAGUGUGUGACGGUAUCUUACCAGAAAGGAACGGCUAAAUACGUGCCAGCCGCCGCGGUAA